AGACGAGGGCGAAAGCCGUAGUCGAUGGGAAUCAGGUUAAUAUUCCUGAACCUGUUGGUAGUGACGGAUGACGUAAGUUGUACAUGCUUAACGGAUUGUGUGUGCAGUGAAGUUGUCCCAGGAAAUAGCUCCAACAUUAAGACCGUACCCCAAACCGACACAGGUGGUCAGGUAGAGAAUACUAAGGCGCUUGAGAGAACUCGGGUGAAGGAACUCGGCAAAAUCGUACCGUAACUUCGGGAGAAGGUACGCUCCUAUCUGUGAUGAGACUUGCUCUCUAAGCGGACGGGAGCCGCAGUGACCAGGUGGCUGGGACUGUUUAUUAAAAACACAGCACUGUGCAAACACGAAAGUGGACGUAUACGGUGUGACGCCUGCCCGGUGCCGGAAGGUUAAGUGAUGGGGUGCAAGCUCCUGAUCGAAGCCCCGGUAAACGGCGGCCG
rnacentral:rRNA from 11 species